CUGCAUUUUAUUUAUUUAUUUAUUUAUUUUUAAUAUUUAUUUUUUAGUUCUCAGCGGACACAACAUCUCUGUUGGUAUGUGGUGCUGAGGAUCGAACCCGGGCCGCACGCAYGCCAGGCGGCGCGCUACCGCUUGAGCCACAUCCCCAGCCCUGUAUUUUUUUUCUUAACUACAAGUAUGUGUCACUUUCACAUCAAGACGGAGAAAAACUUUUCUGGUUUCCCCUCCCACCCCAGACCUUUCUGAGUGGAAAUCCCUAAACCACUCAGAAAACACCUUUUUUUUAAAAAAAAAUUGUUCUAGUUCCCAGCACCAGGCCUUCACAAACCUGGCUUCUAGAAAUAGUCUCAAUGGUUAGUAAGACCAUUUUCAAGGUCAGAUCUAAAAGAUGGACUAGCUCCACAGGUGACCUAUCCUAUAAACCCGACCAGUUCUGCCCCAGCUCUCUUCAUUAUCAGGAGCAGCUGCUAACGCUGUUGCAUUUGAGGGACAGACACCCAGAACCUUUCCUUCACCCAACCCUCGGGAUAACCCACGGGGCAGACACUGUCAUCGCCAUUUACAGAGAAGCACACUGAGACAUGGAGUAAGGGGCCCCCUCAAGGUCACAAAACUAGAAGGCAAUGCAACGGCUCAGUCCAAUAACAAAAGGCCUGGACUCCUCCCGUCGCACUGCCCGGACUCAGGGGCCCAGGGUGGAGGCCGAAAUGGGCUUCCGGGGUUCCACUUCCGGCGGAGGGGAAGCGAAAUGCAAGGUCACGCCAGACCGAGGGGGCCACAGGUCGCAAGGGCAGGGCCUCCCCACUCCUAGAGCUGCCACCCCCAGGCCGCCGGCUCGCAGCUACCAGGAGCGAGGGAGGAUGAAGAAGGAAGGAGGGGGGAAGCGUUCACCCGCGCAGGUGCCACGCCGGAGGGCGGGGAACCGGGCGGAGAGGACCACAACAACACCCAAACCAACGACGGCAUCCAGGAAAGGAACACCACCUCAGGCCCCGAGCUCGAUGGCGCACCGCCGGAACCGGAAGCCGCACCCCCGGAAGUUGGGGAGACUAGGGGAGAAGUUCUUCGUAUUUCGGAGCCGCAGUUUGCCCAGUUACAAAAUGGGAAGAAAGGAGCGGGAAUUGAGAUCCUCUGCGAGCCCGCCUGCCGCUGAGUCAGCGCGCCCCACCCUGAGGUUCCACCCUUGGGCCUUUGUACCACCCAAAGGAAAGAAACCAAAAAGAGAGGCUGCAGGCUGCUAUUUGGAGACUGUGGUCCAGUGCGGCGCACCUGGUGGAGUCAGUCCAGACGACGCAGGGCCCAGUCUAUAA
rnacentral:lncRNA from 1 species